UAUCAUUAUUAUGUGUUGGGGCUAUUAAAGUUUACGGUUUGGAAACACAAUAAUAAAUUCAGGGACGUACAUGAUUCGUCAUUCCCUUUUAUUUCCUUCUCGUAUUCUUCUGACUCGGGCCCUGAAGGCCUGAACAACCUCAAGAUAGUCUUCCUCUGUCAGAUAUCAGCCGAAUCUGUGGCCACUUCUACAGUAUUCUCACAAGGUUGCCGGAGAAUUCUACAAAAUUUGUUAAGGCUACUACUACGGAAAUUUACAUUGAAAAGAGAUAUACCGGAGAAAAACGUUACAUUAUCUUGGGAGAGUAACGAUGCAACUUUGUUCAAAUGUAUAAUUCGCCGAUUUGUUUGCAAUAACCAAAUAAUCAAAUAGAAUAAGCAAAUGAUAAAUAAACAGACUUACCAUCCCGUUGUCUCUUUUGACGCUCACUCCAGAAGCUACGGUCGAUAGGCAAGGGGUUAUUUUGGAGCCACCUGCCGCACGCCCAACCCCAAACAUCCUCGCACGGCGACACGGAAGAAUUCCAACUCUCCUGUACCUAUUAAGCAAAGAAAUUUAAGUAAUUAAAAUCCAUUGACCGUAAAGAUGCGGAGCAUAUUCUCAUUCGUGCAGAUGUAGAUGUACGUUUUUAUUUGCAUUCGAGAUUGACUGCCACAUGGUGCCAGUCGGUACAACAAGAGUACUGUCUCGAUUCGCAAACGCAAGAAGAUUACGUCGGAUCGUAAGCACUAAGAUGUGAGCGUUUCUUGGCGUAAGUGGAAACGCAGGGCUAAUAACUUUCUGAUCCAGACAGAUAUCGAAGAACGUUUCUUAUAACAUGUAACAGGAAUGCCCUAUCUGAAAACUUUGAACGUGAUUAUGGAGGGCUGUUGUGUUUUCGAAGAUCGUUAUGAUUGGUGGUUGAAUUUUACCUAUUUGUCAAUUAUGAUUGUAUAUUUGUAAAUGUUGUAAAUUUGUAUUGUUUUACAUUUUAGGGUUUAUUUCGGAAAGGUAAAAUCACCCUGAGCUGCGAUACCGCCGCUUGUAUUACCAUGGAACAGAUUCUGCAACAAACACGUUGUGUUGCCGACACCUGGAAGUCCAGGCAUAAAAUACGUUUCAGGAACUCUUUCAGGGAGUUCGACUGCCUUCACGAAUGGAAGGUGGAACUCCUCGCCUGAAAGCCACACCACUACAAGACCAUUCACGAAACAAAAACAAUAAUACCGCACCACUGCAAGACAUACGUAAAAUUAGCAGACUAUGAAAUAGCCAAUGAGAAACGAACGCGACGUUAUACAAAGUAGAAGAGUUUGACUGUUCGUCGCCAACUUCAGCAUCAAAAUUUAGUCAAUUCAAUUUCAAGAGCAGGAAAUGGAUGGAAACUUUUCACGAUCGUAACAGUUUCGAUAAACUUACUACCUUACUAUUUCCCUUAAUGUAUCAAAUACUUUACUUCCGAAAUGUUGAUAUUUCCAUAAAGUGGCGCAUUACGAGCAAUAACAUCACGUUAUCAAAAGCAUCUACAUCAUAGUGACAUAUUUUCUUAAUAUAAAGUAAAUGGAAACCUGUCGCUGUGAAGAAUACCGCAAUAUUACUAAAAAACUGCGUCCGUGGACCAUCGCGACGUAUCAUCCAUUACGGGAACUCCUGACACUUGGCGAAGAAGCAAGACUUUAUUGGAAAAGGAAUAAGACCUCGAAUGUAGAUUACCGAUUUUUUCGUCCGAAAAUUUAUACGACAGUCCCCAGGUCAAUUUGUCCGGAAUCGCACAAGAAGGAGAUACCCAAGUUGGAAAACAAAUGGAUACCGGUGCUGCCAGGACUUGUGUCGCAGAGGUUGGUUAAUGAGUCUAAGGGGAAUUUAAAGGGUCCAUUUUGAGACAGACUGAAUAAAUCUUAUGCUCUCGAAGGAACCGCACGAUUUAAUAUGAUUCUAUAACUUGUUGCCCCAUUUUCAAUUAACAGUUGUUGACACAACCACUCAUGAAUUACAUUAGAUGGAAAAGCUCCGCUUUUCAAAUACUAUAAUAGUAA